rnacentral:rRNA from 1 species
AUUGAACGCUGGCGGCAGGCCUAACACAUGCAAUUCGAACGAGUGUCGGACUGGUGAGUAAUGUCUGGGAAACUGCCUGAUGGAGGGGGAUAACUACUGGAAACUGUAUAUAAUACCGCAUACCAUCGGAUGUGCCCACAUGGGAUUAGCUAGUAGGGGGGGUAAAGCCUCCCCUAGGCGACGAUCACUAGCUGGUCUGCGAGGAUAACCAGACAGACGGGAACCAGGACACGGUCCAGACUCCUACGGGAGGCAGCAGUGGGGAAUAUUGAACAAUGGGCGCAAGCCUGAGGCAGCAAUGCCGCGUGUAUGAAGAAGGCCUUCGGGUUGUAAAGUACUUUCAGCGGGGAGGCGUUACCGGCAGAAGAAGCACCGGCUAACUCCGUGCCAGCAGCCGCAGUAAUAC